GAGAGAGAGGGGCUGUGUAGACGAUGGCCUUGACGACGGUUAGCAUUCCGACCAAAUCAGACCAGAUUCCGUGUUCCGGUGAAGGUACGACUAGGGUUCUAGGGAGUAGUGCCAGCAAGGAGGAUCAGUUGAUGAUCCGGUGAGUAGAUUAAAGCCUGUACGGGAGUUCUUCAAGUGAAUCAGCAACUGUCCAGGCCGACUCUACAUAUAUGUGGGCAACCUCCUCUUAUAUACGACCGAAGGGACAGCAGACGACAUUUCUUUCUGAGCUAUCGGCAUCGCCUCUUUCAUUCUUCCCCAGCCGCUGAUCGGAAACUUAUUUGGUCUAAAAGGCUGAGAAUAUGUUGGGGAUUGUAAGGCGGAACAUUGGGGGCGCCGGCGGCUUAUCUUCUCGAGUAAAUGAAAUGAUGUGGCAUCUGGUUUAACAAGCAAAGAUAUUGUUGGAACGAAAAUGGGUUAAUGUUUUGUGUUUAUUCAGGGGUUGGGGAAUUAUAUGAUGAGGUUAAGACCUGUAGCGUUAGCCCUGAGGAAUUACUCAUCUGGAGGCAAAGAGGUGAUUUUGAGUUUUGAUUUCUAUUUGGUCACUGAACCAUACACAAAAGCAUAUGGACCACCAUAAUGUGCUCCAGUAGAUGGAUGUUCGACUAACACGGCUGAAUGAAACGAAUUAAGGUAACCUAUGAAACGAAGAUUUUGUUUGGCGACUU
rnacentral:lncRNA from 1 species